GUGGGGAAUCUUCCGCAAUGGACGAAAGUCUGACGGAGCAACGCCGCGUGAGUGAUGAAGGUCUUCGGAUUGUAAAGCUCUGUUAAUCGGGACGAAAGAGCCUAGUGUGAAUAAUGCUAGGAAGUGACGGUACCGGAAUAGAAAGCCACGGCUAACUACGUGCCAGCAGCCGCGGUAAUACGUAGGUGGCAAGCGUUGUCCGGAAUUAUUGGGCGUAAAGCGCGCGCAGGCGGAUCUGCCAGUCUGUCUUAAAAGUUCGGGGCUUAACCCCGUGAUGGGAUGGAAACUACAGAUCUAGAGUAUCGGAGAGGAAAGUGGAAUUCCUAGUGUAGCGGUGAAAUGCGUAGAUAUUAGGAAGAACACCAGUGGCGAAGGCGACUUUCUGGACGAAAACUGACGCUGAGGCGCGAAAGCCAGGGGAGCGAACAGGAUUAGAUACCCGUGUAGUCC
rnacentral:rRNA from 1 species